ACUCCUACGGGAGGCAGCAGUAGGGAAUAUUGCGCAAUGGGGGAAACCCUGACGCAGCAACGCCGCGUGGAGGAUGACACUUUUCGGAGCGUAAACUCCUUUUGUUAGGGAAGAAUAAUGACGGUACCUAACGAAUAAGCACCGGCUAACUCCGUGCCAGCAGCCGCGGUAAUACGGAGGGUGCAAGCGUUACUCGGAAUCACUGGGCGUAAAGGACGCGUAGGCGGAUUAUCAAGUCUCUUGUGAAAUCUAACGGCUUAACCGUUAAACUGCUUGGGAAACUGAUAAUCUAGAGUAAGGGAGAGGCAGAUGGAAUUCUUGGUGUAGGGGUAAAAUCCGUAGAUAUCAAGAAGAAUACCUAUUGCGAAGGCGAUCUGCUGGAACUUAACUGACGCUAAUGCGUGAAAGCGUGGGGAGCAAACAGGAUUAGAUACCCUGGUAGUCCACGCCCUAAACGAUGUAUACCGGUUGUUGCUGUGCUAGUCACGGCAGUAAUCCACCUAACGGAUUAAGUAUACCGCCUGGGGAGUACGGUCGCAAGAUUAAAACUCAAAGGAAUAGACGGGGACCCGCACAAGCGGUGGAGCAUGUGGUUUAAUUCGAAGCUACGCGAAGAACCUUACCCGGACUUGAUAUCUAACAAAUCAUCCAGAGAUGGAAGAGUGUCUGCUUGCAGAAAUGUUAAGACAGGUGCUGCACGGCUGUCGUCAGCUCGUGUCGUGAGAUGUUGGGUUAAGUCCCGCAACGAGCGCAACCCACGUCAUUAGUUGCUAACGGUUCGGCCGAGCACUCUAAUGAGACUGCCUUCGUAAGGAGGAGGAAGGUGUGGACGACGUCAAGUCAUCAUGGCCCUUAUGUCCGGGGCGACACACGUGCUACAAUGGCAUAUACAAUAAGACGCAAUAUCGUAAGAUGGAGCAAAUCUAAAAAAUAUGUCCCAGUUCGGAUUGGAGUCUGCAACUCGACUCCAUGAAGCCGGAAUCGCUAGUAAUCGUAGAUCAGCCAUGCUACGGUGAAUACGUUCCCGGGUCUUGUACUCACCGCCCGUCACACCAUGGGAGUUGAUUUCACUCGAAGCGGGAAUGCGAAAUUCGCUACCCUCCACAGUGGAAUCAGCGACUGGGGUGAAGUCGUAACAAGGUAACCGUAGGAGAACCUGCGGUUG
rnacentral:rRNA from 1 species